rnacentral:misc_RNA from 1 species
AAGGAUAUAUUCGGAACAUCUUCUUUAGAAGAUGACAGAGGRAUAACAUUGACAUAUUGUAUUCAGUUUUGAAUGCUCAUUGGAGUAUUCAGUGCAUAAUUUGUACAUUGAAAACUAGAUAAGUAAGUAAAAUAUAUAGAUUUUACCAAGAAAAACCGAGUGAAUUAGAGUUUUAAAUAAGCUUGAAUUCAAAAAGAAAUAAUCGCUAGUGUUCGAAAGAACACUCACAGAUUAAUAACAUUUUGGGUUUUUAACCGACUUCGUCGUGUUAAAAGUCAAAAAA